rnacentral:lncRNA from 1 species
AAAGAGAGAAAAGUUGGAGGGAUGCAGGGCAGCACUGAGGGUAGAAAGGACUGAGCAGUGCCUUGGACCCGACCCCACUACCCACAGCUCACUGGAUUCUGGGAAGUGCUCCUGCCUGAGAGGAAACUCAGUUCAGAAGGAGGAAGGACAGCAGAGGCCAGCUGCCUUGUUGGAGUUGAAGGUCUUCUCCUCAGAGCAAGAACAUGACAGUGAGAAGACAGAUGGAGGCAUCCUCUGUGUUUCCCUUCAAGGGGUGUACCCCCUGCCAAGGGUUCCUCCUCACAGGUCAACAUUGAAUCGGUGCCAUUCAAUGUGGUUGAAGGGGAAAACGUCCUUCUUCUUGUCCACAAUCUGCCAGAGAAUCUCAUAGCCUUUGCCUGGUAUAGAGGGCUGAGGAAAAUUGGAGUAUACAUACUGAACACUGAAGUAAGUGUGACGGGGCC